GGGUCGAUGAAGAACGCAGCUAGCUACGUUAAUCGGUGU
rnacentral:rRNA from 10 species